rnacentral:tRNA from 1 species
AGCAGUGUGGCUUAGGGAAAAAGCCUGGGUUUGGGAGUCAGAGGACCUGGGUUCUAAUCCCAGCUCUGCCU